CCUACGGGAGGCUGCAGUAGGGAAUCUUCCGCAAUGGACGCAAGUCUGACGGAGCAACGCCGCGUGAGUGAAGAAGGAUUUCGGUUCGUAAAACUCUGUUGUUAGAGAAGAACAGCGCAUAGAGUAACUGUUAUGCGUGUGACGGUAUCUAACCAGAAAGCCACGGCUAACUACGUGCCAGCAGCCGCGGUAAUACGUAGGGGGCAAGCGUUGUCCGGAUUUAUUGGGCGUAAAGCGAGCGCAGGCGGUCAAUUAAGUCUGAUGUGAAAGCCCCCGGCUCAACCGGGGAGGGUAAUUGGAAACUGGUUGACUUGAGUGCAGAAGAGGAGAGUGGAAUUCCAUGUGUAGCGGUGAAAUGCGUAGAUAUAUGGAGGAACACCAGUGGCGAAGGCGACUCUCUGGUCUGUAACUGACGCUGAGGCUCGAAAGCGUGGGUAGCAAACAGGAUUAGAUACCCGAGUAGUC
rnacentral:rRNA from 1 species